UACGGAGGGUGCAAGCGUUAUCCGGAUUCACUGGGUUUAAAGGGUGCGUAGGCGGGUAGGUAAGUCAGUGGUGAAAUCUCGGAGCUUAACUCCGAAACUGCCAUUGAUACUAUUUAUCUUGAAUAUUGUGGAGGUUUGCGGAAUAUGUCAUGUAGCGGUGAAAUGCUUAGAUAUGACAUAGAACACCUAUUGCGAAGGCAGCAGGCUACACAUAUAUUGACGCUGAGGCACGAAAGCGUGGGGAUCAAACAGG
rnacentral:rRNA from 1 species